GUCCAAUGAUGAAUUUUUGCCAUGCUAAUUCUGAUUUUUUCAUGAUCAAACUUUUUAAAAAUUUUCUGAGGACU